GUUUGUCGAUUUUCUGAACUCAAUAUACGGUCACCAAUCUAAAAAGUUCAUACUUGUGUCAAUUUCUUUAUUCCAGUCAAAUUUGUUCCACGAAUCUUACGCUUUUGGGUGUCAUUCACAGUCCAAAUUUCUUGACAAUAAGUCAUUGUAUAAAUAAAAUAAAUCCAAGGUGUUUUACUCACAAACAUUUGUGUCAUUUGUGACAUACGGCGAUUUGCGUUCUUUGACAUAGCGUAUUACUCGUAACCCGAAGAUUUGACGCCCUUCUCGUAAUCAAUCUCUAUCCUCGGUAAAUGAUGUUGUCAUCAUAGAUCAUCAGAAUAUAUCGACUUAAUCAUUCAAUAAGAAUACUCUAAGAAAUACGAAAAUCGAAAUUUGAAACAGGAAGUUUUACAUGAAACGAAAUUAUCUACGGUUACCGGUAACAGAAAUGAACAAAAUCCGGAAAUCGUAAUUUUUUUCAAAAAUAAAAAAAAUCGGGGCGGGGAGAUUUUAGAG
rnacentral:lncRNA from 1 species